rnacentral:rRNA from 1 species
GAACGCAUAUCGGGAACACAAGCUACACCGCCACAAAGCGAAGCUGAAGAGCGUCGGAGAGGGUGUGCGGCGGCGGUGGUACCAGGAACAGGGGAGUGAGUGCCUCCUCUCCGACGCCAACUCCUCAUCCUCCGUCUCCUCCUCACCCCAAGCGUCUGUUCCUUCCCCUAGCCACCGGGCCUCGAGUGCUUCUACCUCGUUCUGGCAUCCCCACCUGGUGCGCGGUUUCCUCUCCGACUCUGUCUCCUCAUCCGACCCCUAGGGUCUUCUUCCCGGUGCUGUUGGGCUGCCUACGCCACCGACCUCCCUACCACGUGCAGCACCAGGAAGAUCCCAUUGGAGAGGCAGAGAGGUAGACUAAAAUACCAGGACCGGGGGUGGUGUCAGCUCCGUCGGUGGCAGAGGAGGACGUGGGUGUACAAGUUGUGGAAGGUAUCGCCGGUCGUCACUCCGGACGCACAAGAGGCAGCUACACACCACGGCAGGAGUUAGCACGGACGUUCCCUUUUCGGAAGUGGGUGUUAUAUAUCUGUACUUCGGUGCUGUCACGUCCAUCUCAUUCAACAAUAUGUCUUACUAAUAAGUAAAACCACUGAGAAACAUAAUUUGGUUACAGUGACUACGUUAAAACACUGAACCAAGAUCUGAUAUUCGUUGGUGAACUGCAAUUUGACUUCCAGGUUGGUCCGAAUAGUGAGAAGACACGCACCUACGAGUCUAUUAAAUGGUUGACAUAUACAUGAUCUGGAAGUAGUAUAUUUCCGAUGCUAAAACUAAAAACGGUUCCAAACACUAGAAUCGAAGGACCAUUCUGACUUGAAGAUGAAUAGAAUCAAAGGACAGGACCAGUAACGGGGAGGAGGAGAAGGCGAACACGUAUACCAAUAACACCAAAAGAAGAAAGUAUCUGUACAGGACGCCGAAUCUGUAACCCCUACUAACCCACAAUAAAAAACACAGGACGUCCCUGUGGGAAAAAGGGGAAACCGUAACCUAAAAAACAACAAAAAAACCCCGAUGGCAACAACGUGCCCAAACUCUCACGGGCCGACGUUACUUACAGCCAUUGAACCCACGGCCGAACACACGUAACACCCACAACACGACUUCACCGACGCCUCCCGUCACGCACAAAAGUGACAUGAACACAUCGGUGACAUGAACACGUCGGUGUCCUCAUAAACCAAGUCUAUUUCACGGAAAAGUUCAAACUACACAUGAGUAGUAUUAUGUACAUUCAUUUUUAACAACCCUUUGAUUUACAACCUUACAAUU